CAGAGAGCAAUAGGCUGGCUGUCUCUGUUAUACCUAAAGAAAGGCAGAAAAAAAUAAUGAAUACUCAAACAAAAUCUCUUUAAAAGACAAAUACAAGGAAAUGAGUUUGCACUUGUUUACAUUUUAAAGAAUGUAUCAUAUAUAUGGUACAGCGUGUACGAAAAUUCAAAAUUGCAUCCCCAGAGGUUAAUGACUAAACACACGAAAGAAAGGAAUGCUCUUCUAAAAACUUGAUUUCCUCUUUUAACAUUGUAUUCAUUUUUCUUGUGGAGAAUGAAUACUUUGAAAACAUAGGCUUAUUGUUGAUAUAACACAGGGAUGAGCAACGUAUGACCCUCUAAAUGUUUUCACUUAUAAUUCCCAUCGAUCCUUUCCAGCAUAGCCAAUGGUGAAGAAUCAUGGAGUUGUAGGCUAAAAUCCUGGAGGGCUAGAAGUUUCUCAUCCCGAUAAAAGAAUCCUAGCAGAAUCCUUUUAGAGUGUCAGGAACUAGAAGAUAACCAGAAUGUUUUGAUUAGUGUGAAGCUGAACUAUCCUCCCAAAAUAAAAGCUUCUCAGUUCAUUUUCAACAUUCCUUUCUAUGCUCCUUUUAAAAUUGCUCACUUGUUAACUUGUGAAUACAUCAGUGACUCAAAACCCUUUGUUUUUGUCCAGGACUCAUUUGUUGGUCUUCCCAUUUGACUGGAAUCGAAGAGAGGACAUAAUGGAGCCAAUCCAGCUGACAUGUUCAGAAGAGCCACCAACAUUUUCUUGAAAGACCACAAAGAAAAUCGCAAAGUUUUUCAAUGUUCCCAUUACAGACACAUUUACCUUAAACCAAAUAAAUAACAACAUUAU